UGUAGUUAUGUUAUAUGUUUAACUUGUGCUCUGAUGUUUCUUCUUUAUGUUUAAAAAAGUUUAAAGAUAGUAGCCUAAGGCUGGCCGCACAUCGGCUCCGACAGCACAUCGGCUCCAACAGCACAUCGGCGCACUUUCGCUUCGACAUAAUUCGGAGUUGAGGAUCAUGAAUUGGACAGACUGGAGGUUUUUGCCCAUAUCUUCUUCCUGUGCGACGAUGAAGACUGCAACAGGAACUGAUAUCUUAUUACACCAUUGAGGGACAAUGACAGAGAAUCAUAUGGACUGGGAUCUCCUGGAUGUAACAUAGGGCUUUAGUAUAGCCUUCAGGUAAGCCGGAGCAGAACCUGCCGAUAGUGAGACCAGGGGGGUUGAAUAUAGACUUUGUCAGAAGAGGUAUAUAUUACCCUCACCUGUUUAAAGGCAGGCCGAUGGAAAUAUGCCAGAGGCAAAAGAGGCUUUCAUCUCAGAUGUAAUUGAUGGGACAACUGUUGGGGCAAUAACAUACAGCAAGUUUGUGGGGACAGGAUCCAGCAGACAGGUAGUGGAAUGGCUACCAGUGAUGAUGACUAAAACCGAUUGUGUUUUCAUUUGUGGUCCUGAGUGAAAAGGAAAGGGGAAAUGAAAAUGAAAGUGAAAGUAAAAAUGAAAGUGAAAAUGGACAUUCAGCUAAAAUAUAAUUGCUAUUCACCAUAUGAAGCCAAGAAGCUCAGUUUUAAGGGGGAUUCAUUAGAAAUAUGCUAGAUAAUGAUAAAUUAAAUUCCGUUUUCAGACUAGUGUUCUGACUGUGUUGGAAGAGUGUGUACAAACUAAUGGUAUUUUGUCAAAUCAUAAUGAGUACAAAAUCCCGCCUUUAUUUCUGUGAAAAGCACUCCCUCUGGGGAAGUAGUCCUCUUUAUCCUACAGAUGCUCAGUGAAGGCGCUUGGCAAGUCUGCCUCUGUGCAUUAUUCCACAGCCUGACAUGCCAGAUGAAGAUCUGACUGUUGACCUUUUGAACAGGGCUGAGAGCGCUCAAACUAUGAGGUAAGGUGAACUUUUCCACUACCUGCAGUGGACCUGCAUGCUCACUCGCAAGCUUAAAAGGUUGAUUUCCAAUGUCUAUUCCACGCUGAGCUCUCGCAGAAGAACGAGGACUACAUGCAGAGCAAACGCCACGGAGACGCAUCACCUGUGAUGGGUAUGUUAUUUCUAGAUGCCCUUAUCUUGUUCUCCUAGCUCCCUGACAAAUUGUCAAACACGGAUUACGUGGCUAGACUUGAGAGAGAUAUGAUAAGUGAAACGUCCAACUCAGGGUGUAGGCAAGGGCGGCCUUUAGUCGAUAUUAUUGCUCCUCCGUUGCCAGAUUCACACUGGAUGAAAUGAUCUUUCAACUGACUUCCCUGUUUUGAUUGUUGUUGUUUUACAGGUGUCAUGGGGCGACAGACAUCAAUCAAGACAAACAUCCAUUCCGCUUACAGCCUCCACAUCAUUCCUCAAGAGCUUGUGUUAAUUUAAUAUGCAGGCCACUUUCAAUUAUAAGGGGAUAGUGGUGGGCCUUAAGCCUAUCGCAAACCAGGAAAUCACAUUUCCUCUGUUCAAGCGCACUGGAUGGACGGGAUGCACAGCUCUGCUGCGAGAGUGUAGCGGUGGAGGAGUCAGGUGAAUGUGCCAGAGCCCAGGAAAUAAAGGUUGAGGACAUAGAGAUGGACAUCGUAAUCACUGAACCAUUCAAUGAUGAAUUUCAAGGGUGUUAUGUGGAGGAGAGGAUGGAUUACAAACAAGAGCAAGAGAGCGAGGGGAGUGAGCUGUCUUGUCAUUUCCAUUUAAGGAGCAAGAGAAUGGAGGAGGGAUAUUUCCCCUUUAAUGGGAGCCGGAUCAUCAAGGUGCUUGAGUACCCUUGUCCCAGCAGUGAAUGUCCUUCUCUCAGACCCUCCACCAAGCGAGUAGUGGACGGGAUGCUGGGCGAGCCUGAUGGCCUGGCAUGGCUUUGGCCUGGAGCCCAUUCAGUGGCUUUGCCACCUGUGUUUGUCUUCAGUGGCUGGCGUGGCGUUCCAUUUCAUCCUCCUUCUACUCGUUCUUCAUCCACUCGGAGCUCCACUCUCAUGCCCGUGCAUGUGUCCUGUCCUGUCCUGUCCUGCAUCCUGCAUCCUGCCUGUCUCUGCUCUGAUGAGCUCACCUCACUUGGCUGCCAUGCCAACCGACUGCUAGUCAUGGUGGGCCCAGUGGUCUGCUGCCUCUCUUGCCUGCUCGCCUGUCUUGUCUGCUUGCCACCACAGGCUAUGCUAGCUUGAGCUGAUCAGAGCCCACUGUUUCCUGCUUUUUUAAUCUAUUCUGGCAGUUCUAUGAUCCCUCUUGAGUUAUGAUCAACUUUGCCAAGGAUCUGACAAGUUCUAACGCAUUGCUCUCAGAAUUUUACAGAAAAAUAAUAAGGCUCAUUUUAGGUAGACUUUUGAACAAAGGCCAUUCCAUUAAUGUUAGCAUGUCUCUUCCUUACCCCCCAUUAAACAGCUUUGCAUUAUUAGACAGACCAUACAGUCUUACUUUUCUUUGUGGCAUUCAUAGGUGGAUUACUGUAAACAAAAACAAA